rnacentral:rRNA from 1 species
GACGGAGGAUGCAAGCGUUAUCCGGAAUGAUUGGGCGUAAAGCGUCCGCAGGUGGCAGUUCAAGUCUGCUGUCAAAGACCGGGGCUUAACUUCGGAAAGGCAGUGGAAACUGAACAGCUAGAGUAUGGUAGGGGCAGAGGGAAUUCCUGGUGUAGCGGUGAAAUGCAUUGAGAUCGGAAAGAACACCAACGGCGAAAGCACUCUGCUGGGCCGACACUGACACUGAGAGACGAAAGCUAGGGGAGCAAAUGGG